CCCCUCUCCCAUAAAUCAACAAUAGCGUCCUUACGUUCAACCCCAAGGUGCAGCCGUGCUUUAUGCCUCCUUAUAUGCUCCCCUGGAAGCAGUCUGCACAAUCUGUUCCAGCACUCCCUGCACCAAUGCAGCCAGAAGUUCUGCCCUUUCCUGCACCGGCUGUGGAUCCCGGUCUGCAGCAAGCAACGGCCACAUUCUCCAGGUUGGCUGUGCAGCCAAUCCCUAC